AUGAACGCUGGCGGCGUGCCUAAUACAUGCAAGUCGAGCGAACGGACGAGAAGCUUGCUUCUCUGAUGUUAGCGGCGGACGGGUGAGUAACACGUGGAUAACCUACCUAUAAGACUGGGAUAACUUCGGGAAACCGUAGCUAAUACCGGAUAAUAUUUUGAACCGCAUGGUUCAAAAGUGAAAGACGGUCUUGCUGUCACUUAUAGAUGGAUCCGCGCUGCAUUAGCUAGCUGGUAAGGUAACGGCUUACCAAGGCAACGAUGCAUAGCCGACCUGAGAGGGUGAUCGGCCACACUGGAACUGAGACACGGUCCAGACUCCUACGGGAGGCAGCAGUAGGGAAUCUUCCGCAAUGGGCGAAAGCCUGACGGAGCAACGCCGCGUGAGUGAUGAAGGUCUUCGGAUCGUAAAACUCUGUUAUUAGGGAAGAACAUAUGUGUAAGUAACUGUGCACAUCUUGACGGUACCUAAUCAGAAAGCCACGGCUAACUACGUG
rnacentral:rRNA from 1 species